CACAGUUACUUGCUAUUCACUAGUUUUACAGCCAUUCAUCCCCCCUGAAACUCUGCCGCCUUUCUCUCUUAAAUAUUCUAAAACCAUCAAAACAACAACAACAACAACCCACUCAUUCAUUUUUUUUCCUUCUCUCUGUUUCAUCCAGUUAUGGCUGACGAGGUUAAGGAGAAGCAUGUUGAGGAGUUCGUCCUGGAAAGUGAUGAUAAUGAGGACGAUCUUGAAGGGAGCAAGGCCGGCUACGGCAGCGAAUGCAGCCUCAACUACAAUAGCGAUGAUGAUGGUGACGGAGGCCGACGAGGUCCUUCUACCACUUUCACUUCACAGCAAUGGCCCCAAAGUUUCAAAGAAACAAUGGAUCCUUAUACAAUCACGGCAUCACCAAGCUUUGGAAUCAUUGGGGGAAUUCAAAAUUUGAGACAUUUUAGUUUUACCAGUCAGAAAAGUAAUUUGGAACUGGAUGGAAGGCUUCCUCUUUUGAACGAGAAUCGAAAGAGUUAUUCCAAGGAAACUUUAGAGAGCAUCUCAAGAGCACAGUCAGGGUGGUCACAGAGGCCAUCAUUCCCUAAGCAACUUACUGGAGAGUUUCCCAUUUCUUAUGGAUGUAGCGUGACCCAGACCGUAUUUAAUUCCAUAAAUGUAAUGGUUGGAGUUGGGCUUCUAUCCACACCUCAUACAAUAGCAGAAGCAGGCUGGGCAAGCUUGUUGGUUCUAGUCUUUUUUGCAGUUGUAUGUUGUUACACAGCCACACUCAUGAAAUAUUGCUUUGAAAGCAGAGAAGGGAUUAUAUCUUACCCUGAUAUGGGUGAAGCUGCCUUUGGACGAUUUGGACGCCUUUUAAUAUCUAUUGUUCUCUAUACAGAAUUAUAUUCUUAUUGUGUGGAAUUUAUUAUCAUGGAAGGUGACAAUCUUACAAGGCUAUUUCCUGGAGUUUCUUUGGAUUGGCCUUUUCUAAAGUUGGAUUCGAUGCAUCUCUUUGGAAUUUUAACUGCCUUGGUUAUUCUACCCACUGUCUGGUUAAAAGAUAUUCGUCUGAUUUCAUAUCUUUCAGCUGGUGGGGUUGUUGCAACAUUGGUAAUAGGCCUUUGUCUUCUGUAUCUCGGUACACUGGGUGGUGUUGGCUUCCAUCAUACUGGUAAAGCUGUGAAUUUGAGUGGCAUUCCUGUUGUAAUUGGUGUGUACGGAUUCUGUCAUUCAGGACACUCUGUGUUUCCAAAUAUCUAUCAAUCAAUGGCUGAUAAAUCACAAUUUAAGAAAGCAAUGCAAAUAUGUUUCUUUUUGUGUAUAGUAUUGUACGGAAGUGUUGCAGUCAUGGGUUAUCUUGAGUUUGGUCAAAGCACAUUGUCUCAAAUAACUUUGAAUAUGCCACCACAUGCUUUUGUUUCUAAAAUUGCGUUGUGGACGACGGUUAUCAACCCACUCACAAAAUAUGCAUUAUUGUUGAUCCCCUUGGUGAGGAGCAUAGAGGAGCUGCUACCAGAUCAUGUCGUGGAUAGCUUAUGGUUUUUCAUUCUUCUGAGAGCAGUAUUAGUUUUUUCCACCGUUGUCAUUGCAUUUGUCAUGCCUUUCUUUGGUAAGUUUUGGAAUUUGCUCUCUAUCAAUGAUCUGGAUUUAGUUAUGUCUCAUACUUCAUGAUGCAAUAAAUCGUAUGAGCUAGUAAAUAAUCGUAGGCAGUGUCAUUUCUUUUAAAUCUGUGCCAAGUUAUGCUUGCAAAAUAGUAAUCUGCAAAAUCAGAAUGCAUAUUAUCAGAAGUGAAAUUCAAGAAUAUCUACCUCAUUGCCAUGGUACUCGUGGUCAAUAAUCAAUAUUACCAUCUACUUUUGUUCGGUUCAAAUUGCCCAUUCAACUUUGAUUUUUGCAGUUAUCCAGAGUUGAACUGGCAAAGGCCUUCUAAUAGGCUAGGAGCACUAGUUGGUGGCAUGAGCUUGUACUAUCGGACGAAACUGGAAGCACCUUCACUAGGCUAGGAACACUCGAACGAGUAAGCCGUAGUCCUUGUUAUAACAAUAUCAAGUCAUUCUUAUGUAGUUAAACAUUUUGGCAUGCUUAAGUAGUUCCUUCUAUCUUCUAUUCGGUUGUAGUACGAAGAAUAACUAUCCAUUGAAAGCUUCUUGUCAAGAAGCACCGCUAUGAGCAACCUAAUGAGUGGGACUCAAAAGAAGUAUAACAAAAUAAGUUCCUCUUCAUAUUAGUAACAACAUGAUCACAUUUCUCAAUAACAAUUUUCGGGAGGAGGAUGAUUGUACAAUGAC